rnacentral:rRNA from 1 species
AUGGCCGUGGCGUGGAACGAUGGGGCGGCGGAAACCAAGUGGCUGAAGCACUACUCUUCGGCGCAGGACAUCCUGGUCGUCGGCGACGGGGACUUCUCGUUCUCGCUGGCGCUCGCCACCGCCUUCGGCUCCGGCGAGAACCUCGUCGCCACGUCCCUCGACUCCUACGAGAGUCUGAGCCACAACUACAGCGACGCAACAUCCAAUGUGGCGAAGCUUGAGGCGAUGGGUGCCACGGUUCUGCACGACGUCAACGUGAAAGUGAUGAAUCUCCACGCCGAUCUGGAGCCGAGACUGUUCGAUCGGAUCGUCUUCAAUUUUCCUCACGCCGGGUUCAGAGGGCGCGAGGACGACGAAGAUACAAUCAGGUCGCAUCAGAAGCUGGUGUGGAGAUUCUUCGCCACCGCGCGGCACAUGCUCCGGCGUCACGGCGAGAUCCACGUCACCCACAAGACCAAGCAUCCGUUCUCCAUGUGGUGUAUCGAGCAGCUAGCAUCCGAGUCCUCGCUUGCUAUGGUCGAGAAAGCUGCCUUUCAGAUAGAAGACUACCCUGGUUAUAACCAGAAGAGAGGGUCGAGCUGGAGGUGCGGCCAUGGCUUCGCUAUAGGUCACUGCUCCACCUUCAAGUUCCGCCUCGAAUAG